UACGUUUUAGAAUUGAGGCAUAAAACUUCCUGAGGUUGUAAAAGAAUACUUGAGGUUAAGUUAUGCCAAAUUUUAAGUUUCCAGGUUGAACGGUUCUUUUUAUAAAAAUUUAUAUAAAUUGCUAAUCUAAAUUUAAGGUUUUUUGAAGAUGAAGUAAAGAAAAAUUUUUUUCUCCAAUACGUUUUAGAAUUGAGACAUGAAACUUCCUGAGGUUGUAAAAGAAUACUUGAGGUUAAGUUAUGCCAAAUUUUAAGUUUCCAGGUUGAACGGUUCUUUUUAUAAAAAUUUAUAUAAAUUGCUAAUCUAAAUUUAAGGUUUUUUGAAGAUGAAGUAAAGAAAAAUUUUUUUCUCCAAUACGUUUUAGAAUUGAGACAUGAAACUUCCUGAGGUUGUAAAAGAAUACUUGAGG